rnacentral:rRNA from 1 species
UACGUAGGGUGCGAGCGUUAAUCGGAAUUACUGGGCGUAAAGCGCGCGUAGGCGGCUUUGUAAGUUAGAGGUGAAAGCCCGGGGCUCAACUCCGGAACUGCCUUUAAGACUGCAUCGCUUGAAUCCGGGAGAGGUGAGUGGAAUUCCGAGUGUAGAGGUGAAAUUCGUAGAUAUUCGGAAGAACACCAGUGGCGAAGGCGGCUCACUGGACCGGUAUUGACGCUGAGGUGCGAAAGCGUGGGGAGCAAACAGG